AACGAACGCUGGCGGCAGGCCUAACACAUGCAAGUCGAGCGAACCCUUCGGGGUUAGCGGCGGACGGGUGAGUAACGCGUGGGAACGUGCCUUUUGGUUCGGAACAGCCCCUGGAAACGGGGAUUAAUUCCGGAUGUGCCCUUCGGGGAAAGACUUCGGUCGCCAAGGGAUCGGCCCGCGUCGGAUUAGGUAGUUGGUGGGGUAACGGCCUACCAAGCCUUCGAUCCGUACCUGGUUUGAGAGGAUGACCAGGCACACUGGGACUGAGACACGGCCCAG
rnacentral:rRNA from 1 species